rnacentral:misc_RNA from 1 species
UCAAUCAUCAAGCCUGGCUUGUCGUUGGACUCGUGGUCGUCAUGACCGGUCCGAAAGAUAAUGGACGGCGGUGAUUAGCCCCUGAUGCAACGAGCUUUUGACAGCACGCAUUGAAGGGUUGGUCACCCCCGGCCUCACACUCCAUUUUCUCA